rnacentral:RNase_P_RNA from 1 species
AAUGACAGAUAAUCGCUGCUAGCAAUAGUAGAGGAAAGUCCAGGCUGCCACAAUCUGCGAUGAUUGUAGUGAUUGUGCCUCACGAAUCAAUAAGUGAGGGUAGUGAAAACUAACGACAGAGUGAAAACCUAAGGGCAACUAUGGUGGAAACUCAUAAAUGGCUCCACAGAGACAAUGUCAUGGGAAACCAUGAGUGAAAAGAGGAAAGCUCCGCAAGGCAGAAACCCAAAUUUUGGUAGGGGAACCCGGAAAUGGGAAAUGAACGAUGGAAGGGACGCAAAUGCGUAGAUAAAUGAUUAUCUUAUACAGAACUUGGCUUAUUAUC